rnacentral:rRNA from 1 species
CCCUUAGAUGUUCUGGGCCGCACGCGCGCUACACUGUUCGACGCAGCGAGUCUUAACCUUGACCGAAAGGUUUGGGUAAUCUUCAGCAAAGUCGAACGUGAUGGGGAUCGAUCAUUGCAAUUAUUGAUCGUGAACGAGGAAUUCCUAGUAAGUGCAAGUCAUCAGCUUGCGCUGAUUACGUCCCUGCCCUUUGUACACACCGCCCGUCGCUACUACCGAUUGAAUGGUUUAGUGAGAUCUCUGGAUUGACGCUGGCUAGGGGGCGACCCUUGGCCAGACUGCUCGAGAAACUGCUCAAACUCGAUCAUUUAGAGGAAGUAAAAGUCGUAACA